UUUCUCAUCUGUUUCACUCUCUGCCUAAAGCCACUAGCUGGAAUCGACUGUGGCGGUACCACACCAAUCAACCCCAAAUUUUCACCAUUAAAUUAUGACAAAAACUCAUUGAAUUACUCAAAUUUCGAAUCUCAGAACCAAAGCCUAGCUGAAAUUUGAUCUUUCUUCAUGACCUUGAUCAAUUGGUCCUCUUUUACGGUUGACACUCGCAUCAGUAGGAAGUUCUUGAUAAGUGUUAUUCACUGAUGUAAGAUUCAUUACGUUUCUCAAAGGUGACGUUUUGGUCAGCUGGUUGUUGGUCGAUCUAUGCUCC
rnacentral:lncRNA from 1 species